AUUGAACGCUGGCGGCAUGCCUUACACAUGCAAGUCGAACGGUAACAGGUCUUCGGAUGCUGACGAGUGGCGAACGGGUGAGUAAUACAUCGGAACGUGCCUAGUAGUGGGGGAUAACUACUCGAAAGAGUGGCUAAUACCGCAUGAGAUCUACGGAUGAAAGCAGGGGAUCGCAAGACCUUGUGCUACUAGAGCGGCCGAUGGCAGAUUAGGUAGUUGGUGGGAUAAAAGCUUACCAAGUCGACGAUCUGUAGCUGGUCUGAGAGGACGAUCAGCCACACUGGGACUGAGACACGGCCCAGACUCCUACGGGAGGCAGCAGUGGGGAAUUUUGGACAAUGGGCGCAAGCCUGAUCCAGCAAUGCCGCGUGCAGGAUGAAGGCCUUCGGGUUGUAAACUGCUUUUGUACGGAACGAAAAGCCCUGGGUUAAUACCCUGGGGUCAUGACGGUACCGUAAGAAUAAGCACCGGCUAACUACGUGCCAGCCGCCGCUGUAAGAC
rnacentral:rRNA from 1 species